GGACCACUCAUUUCAGGACAC
rnacentral:siRNA from 1 species